CACAAAGGACAAAGAACUGGAGUGCGACGGAGAAGGUGGUGGAAGCGAGAGAGACCCGGGAGACGGCAUGCGUGUAAAGCGAUUGGUAGUGAGAGGGAAGGUGGAGGAGGACAUGCUCGCACCCGCGCUGCUGCUUCGCCUUCCCUCUCCAACCGCCUUCCGCUCAGCUCUGCUGCCUCUCUUCGCAGUUUGCCCUCUCAAUCGCCUAUUCGCUUUCUCUGUUGCUUCCCUUCACCUCUUCGAUGGGGCCUUCAGUGUCAUAGCCUUUGGAGAUAC
rnacentral:snoRNA from 1 species